GGGCGGUUAGCUCAGCCGGAAGAGCAUCUCGUUUACACCGAGGAGGUCGGCGGUUCGAACCCGUCACCGCCCACCA
rnacentral:tRNA from 1 species